AUCAAAGGUUAAUUUAUUAUUGAAGAAAGAAAAAUGUCUCUAUCAAUGAAUAUAGCCUAAGGAUACGGGGUUUAUGAAGUCUACAGUAGUGUACAGCAGUGUCCUAGGCCUUCAUGUUCAUUCAUCAGUAGGUGCACUCACCAACGGACCCAGAGCAACUCCAGUCCUAUAAGCUGCAGUCAUAGUAAGUGCCCUACACAGGUGUACCAUUUUUAAUCCUUUUACCAUUUUUAUUGUACCUUUUCUGUUUAGAUGUGUUUAGAUACACAAAUACUUACUACUGUGUUCCAAUUGCCUAUAGUAUUCAGUACAGCAACAUGCUGAAUGGGUCUGUAGACUAGGAGCAAUGGGCUAUACUAUACAGCCUGGGUUUGUAGUAGGCUAUACCAUCUCAGUUUGUGUAAAUACAUUCUAUGAUGUUCACACAAUGUCAAAAUUGCUUAAUGAUGCAUUUCUCAGAACCCAUCUUCAUUGUUAAGUGACAUAUGACUGUAUAUUAUAAAGAGGCCAAACCCACGCCUGAUGUAUGUCAGCAUGCCUGAGUUACUUAACACAAGGUCUGAGACACAGAGGAUGCUUAUAAUACUGACUAAAUGACUAAUUAAAAAGUUAUUUCCACUAAAUUUUGAAUCAUAUUGUAUCCUUGUUUUGGCAGCAGAUUUACAUCCUUAAUUCUAUCUUGCUUAGCUAAAAUUAACAGGUUUACAUUUUUCAAGUAAACUCUAGAAAUUAGUUGCUUAGAUGCCUGCUAAGUGAUGGGAUCAAGGGAGGCUAAGCUCUAAAGUUUGUCAAGAAAAAGCUACAUGUGAAUAAUUAGGAGUUGCUAGUUAAGCACUCAAACUUUUUUUUUUUUUUUUUUUUUUUGGUGAUAAACUGUAGGAGUUUCUCGGGUCUAAAGGAAGACACAGGAUGUCUUCAGAGAUUGGAGCCACAUUUGGGCCAGGAGCAACUAUUUAAAGGACUCCGCGUCGCUAAAACAAUAAGAAUAGUAUAAAAAAGUACCCAUGUAUUUGGUUGUUUUCUGGACAGGUAAACCCAAGUCUUAAGUAAGGGCCAUGAGUACAGAUGACCACAGAAAAGUUUCCAAAGGAAACCCUGAGUGAGCAAGCUUGACUGUAGUCUACUAUAGACUUUAAAAAUAUCCAUUUGUAUUUUUAGGAGUUCUUACAAAUAUUAAUCCACCAUAAAAGUAAUAACAGCAAGGCCUUGAAAGUUAAUGAUAAUGAAAGGCAAUUUUUAAAUUUUUUUUUAGAGAAAGGGUCUCCCUUAUUGCCCAGGCUGGAAUGCAGUAGUAUGAUCAUAGCCCACUGUAACCUUGAAUUCCCAUGCUCAAGCAAUCCUCCCACCUCAGCCUACCGAGUAGCUGGGACCACAGGCACAUGCCACAAUGAUUGGCUAACUUAUUUUUAUUUUUCUGUAGAGACAGGGUCUCACUAUGUUGCCCAAGGUGGAAAGGCAAUAUUUUUUAAGGUACUAUGUGCUAGGCACUAUGUAAGCUUAAAUCUUGCUGAGCUUCAUAUCUUAGCUACAUCUCUUUUGAUCCUUACAACAAUCCUAUGAAGUGAGUAAUAUUAACAUCCCUAUUGACAGAAUGAGGCUAUGAGAAACUAAGUCACUCCAGUUCACAUGGUUAGUUACUGACACAGCCAGGGUUCGAAACCAGGCCAACUGAGUUUUAACCACUACUCCAAUUAGCUUUCUCUGGGCUUAUCAUGUCUCUCAUGUCAAAUAACGUGUUAUUCUGCCAGCCCACAAGAGUCUUGAGAGCUCAAAGGCCCAUCUCUGGGAGGAUACCGAUGGAAGUGUGUCAUGAGGAUCUUAUCACUCAUCUGAGCUCUGCAUGUCACUCAGGCUCCAUACUCGGCUUCCUCUGUUCUGAUGUACAGUGAUAACCCAGGGCAAGGGGUUUCCAGAAAGACAGCACAUACUCUGGCUCAGCAAGUUACUUAAUCUCACUCAACUGGCCCAGCAGCUGGAUUCACGCAAGUCAGGUGGCCUGGAACUGAUCCUCUCUGGUUGUAGAAUUAAAAAUCUGGCAAGGAUUGGAAAGAUAGUUUACUUAAUAGGGCCUCAAGUAUAGGAAAGCAAUUGAAGGGUGAUUGCAGUGAUAGAAUCACUUGAGAGAGGGAGGUAGGGAAACUGUAAGUUACUAUAAAGUUGUGACCUUAUUUUAAACUAGAAAACUUAGUGGUCUCUUAUGUCUUUUGACUUUCAAGCAUUCCUGUGAGAGGGCUGGCAUAAAUGAUUGUUAAUGCUGUUGAUGGGAAAUUUAAAGUAGGAGGAAUCUGCCUACUGGCUUUUAAGAAAAGGUGAUUUCCUGCAAGAUGACCUAAUUGGUUAGGAAACAGAUAAGUGAACCUUCUCUAUGUUCACUUUAAGAGGAAGUUCUAAAAAUUGAGGUGCUCACUCCCUCUCUCUCCUUUUUGAUGAUUGUGAUAUUUAGACCUGCCAAAGCAGUAUAACUUCAUUGUCUGGAAUUUGGUUAAUUCCAAUGCAAAUACAAAAAUCAAAUACGUGAACUGAGCUUUGAAAAUAUUUUCAUUUUUGAGGAUUUUCAUUGUUAUGGGAUUGAGCCUGUAGAAGUCUCUGUGUAAGCUACAUAGAGCAAAUCUAAUCUACUCACACUGAAGUCAGGGCUCUGUAAAAGACUGUGGGAACAUUCAUUCUCCACUCUCUCAGAGACUCUUUUAGAUGGCACUGGCUGAGGCAGAAUGAAUACAGCUGCUGAUUCUGAUCUCACACUGGGUAUAUCCCUGAGUGCUGGAAAAAACAUCACCCUCAGAAGUGUGCAUUCAGCCAGCUGCCUUUGGAGAGAGCUGGGAAGGGUGCAAAGUGGCAUGUCCUUUACCAGUCACUCUUUCUGGGCCAAUGCUUAUCCAGAAAUGAGACAGAACUAUGGGUUUACUGCAAAUGACCAGCAUCCGCAAAGUGAUCAAGACUACCAACUUUGGGUAAUGUGUCCCACAUCUCAGAUGUCAGUUGAUAUAAGACAUUACAGUAAAGAAUUAUGAGGUAACACUUUGGGAUAAUUAUUGUUUUCCAGGCUAAACACCUUACAUACAUUAUCUCUGUGAGGGAGGUACCAUUAUCAUACCAAUUUUCUAGUGAAGGAAGCUGCGCUACAAAGAAAGUGAUUUGCCCAAGGCCACCUGGCAAGUGGCAGAGUCAGGAUUUAAACCCCAGAGUCUGAUUCAUUAUUUUUCUUUUCAUUGUUUCUUUUGGCCAUUUAGAUAUUACAAGAAUGGCCAUUAAUCUCCCUUUCUAGGAGGGAAAAUGCAUGGAAACUACCCCCUCCCCGCCCCAAUUUUCUGGACAUCCCAUUCAUUUUCUUUUCCUCAUUAAAUUAUAAUAUUCAGUUUCUUAUUCAGAGUCAUUUGGGCCUUUCUAGAAAAGCAUAUUUUAAUAAUGUUCUCUCCCUAUUGUUGGGAAACUCUUAGUCAUACGACAGGUUUCUAGAAAUUGAUACCAAAAGAAAAAUAAAUCUCCAGGUUUUCUCCAACUGAAAAUAUGUAAGGUGAUCCCAGUUGCCAAAAUCAUGACUGGCUUUCCUUCUAUGACUAUCAUCUCCACAUCUGGUUCACCUUCUUUGCCAGAAGUACAUGAUCAUAUAUCUUUCUGUAUCUUAGGAUGUUUCACUAUUUUAUGACAUUUCUAAAUAGAAUCGCUGUGUUAAUCAUCAUUAUAAUCUGAUAAUUACAUUAUUUAUUUUAUCAGUGUUCACUCUGCAAUGAAAAAAUGAACCAGCAGAAGGUGAAUGUGAAAGACUAAGAAGAGCCCUGCAGAAAACCCGUUAGCCCAUGUUUUCAUCUGUAAUGUGGAUGUGGGAUAGGAAGAGGGACAACGACAUAGUACCGACCAGGUUCCAGAAACUAUUCCAAGUGCUUUACGUGAUAAAAAUCUCUUAAUUGUCUCAACGACCAUACGAAGUAUAUCUCUAGUGUUGCCCCUAUUUUAUAGAUGACAAAACCUUACUGAUAUCUGUAUAGCUAGUAAGUAGGAGAGACAGGAUUCAAUCUGUCAGCCCAACUCUGCCGGUGCCCGUGUCCCUGCUCUGUGAUCCUGACAGGCAGCCACAGCCAGGAGUCCGUCCUUGUUUUAGAUAUUUCCCAUGUCUGCUGCUCAACUAGACCCUAACGGUGGAUUCUUGGUACAUCCUUACCCAAGGAUAACCCAUAAGUUUUCAUGACAUUACCACGGACUCGUCUUGCUUGUGAAACCAAGUAAUAGUAAAAACAGAAGAAUCAUGUGUUAAAAAUUUUUUGAAGUAAAUGAUUCUGUCAUCAUUAUUCUUAAAGAAAGUGAUGUACCCAAGGUCACACACUUAGUCACUGGUCAGUCCUGGGGCAAACACCCCUUGAUGUCCAGCCCUUGAGUCAGGAUGAUUGCUUCAUCUAGAAGGCACCAUGGGCACUCUGCCUGAAUCCAGGAACCUCUGGAGUUGUAUAUGGCUCUGUCCAAGACAAAGGAAUCCGCUGUACCAGAUCCACAGAAGCCCUGGCUCUAAAUUAAAAACAGCACAACAACAACAUUGCAGCAACAACAAAAUAGUAAUACAAUAAAAGGUGGGAAGACCUCGAGAGCAUAAAAAUUUCCUUAAACUGAUCAUCAAGGAAAGGAAAGGGAGGAUUCCUUCUUUAAAGAGGCAAGUGCCUGCCAGCAGGAACCUAAAACUCAUUAUUAUUCUGUAUUUUCUUUUUUCAUGACUAAAAAGUUUUUCUAUCCUCCCCCUUCCUAUCCCUAUCAAAAGACUACCCCCUCCACAAGACAAUCACAAACUUUAAAAGUAGCAAGCCCUCACUUCAAACAAAAUGUAAAAAUAAAAAUUCAAAAACCCAUAGUGUUUGCAAAACAGCUUUGUAUGGAGGAAGGGCAAAUCUUAUCUUAAGAGAGGCUAAUUUCAUAGGAAUCGGGCAAAGAGAGGAGAGGUAGAAAGGGUGGGAGCACAGAAGAAGGGGAGGCGGGAGAGGAGGGGAUAAAGGAGGAAGAAUCGCUGGCUUUAAAAAGCAACAUUGUCCAGAGAGGUGAAAGGGAACAGAUGGCCGUGGAGAAUGUGGCCCUCAAAGCCUGAAGAAAGGGGGGGAUGCCGACAGAUCUUGCUGUUUCCCAUUGAUGCCUGAAUGUUCUGGUGCGGGGAGCCGAGGCCAGUGCAGGGGACGGACCUCUGUUCCCAGCAGCUCACUGGGGCACUGGCGCUGAGGCUCACUGAGAAAAAGAGCAGGCGGGGGUGAGGGGGGCUGGAGGCAGCUGUGGCUGCAGAGGGAAAGGACAGUGGGCAGCAUCGGAGACGUGCGGCUUCCACAGCCUUCUCUUUUGGCCCAGCCCAGGGAGGUCAGCCCAGUGCUGGUCUUUGCCCUGGCAGAGGUGAAGUAAAGGACAGGAGCCCGGGCCCAAAGCCUCAGCAUCCUUCCCCUCAAAACCCACUGGGGGAGCCCUGUCUGGGAUAAAGUAGAUACCUUGGGAGAGGGAAAUGAAGAAAAUAUUCCAAAUGCUUUCAGAGGAUUGAGACAUUCAAAUUAAAAUAAACAAGAAAUCUGGGUCUCUGAAAAAGGUCAGAGAAUCCUGCCAAGGAAACCUUAUAUUAUUUCAUGGAGUCUCAAGGCAGAGAAGUGAUUUGCUGAGAAAAACAAAAAUGAGUUGGUGGCAAACCCAGGAAGGAAUCCAAGAGUCAGUUUCAGAGGACUGAGUCAGCCCCCAAAGAGGUUCAGGAUUCAAGGUGGGCCUCCCUGGUCAUUGCUUGUAGCUGUGCCACACCGGAGGAUUGUUACUGGAGACUCACAAGUCAGUACAGGGCAGCACUAAUACAGGAACCUCUGGCCAGCUGGCGAGCCCGUCCUUCCUGGAGGGAAAAGCCCAGCAGCCCCUGCAGAUGGAGGCCUGAGAACUUGGGAAGGUGGGGAAGGGUUUGCGGAAGCAGCGAUUACAAAGAGGCUCAUAAACUUUAGGGGACAAAGAUGCAAUCACUGUAAUUUCCUUAACUUAACUUUGAUCAGAGAAAUUAUCAUUCCAAAUGACAUCUUGACCUCUCCCUACACCUGCAGAAGAUGUUGAUAAAAUUCAGCCCUGCUCCUGCCGACUAAAGAGGGAGCCACCUUCUGCCUGGCUCACUGUUCAGUCAGCCCACAGAGACUGCACAAGUUCAAAACAAAAUUCCCCCAGUUCUUCUCUUCCUCUGUCUUCUUCCCUGGCCCUAAAAAUGAGAAAGACCUGAAUUUGGGGCAGACGGUCUUUCAAACAGUGGGGCAGGAGUUUGCAGAAACAGAUCCCUCAUCAGAACAAUCUUUUGGAAACAUUCCCACACAUUUCAGGGCCCCAAAAACAUCACCCUCUGUGAGAGUAAAGGAAGUUAAAAGGGGGCCCUAAAUAUAUUUAGUGACCUGGCAAGUUCACCUUUACCUGGGGCUAGGCCUCCAUUGCCAUGUCAAAGAGCCACCAAGCCCCACGUUUUGCACUGUAGAUGCAUCUGAGUCACUGAGAAAAUUCCCAUGGAGCGGCUCAAUAAAAAAAGAUCAACCAUGAUAAAGACCUUGCCUUUUAUUUCCCUGCUUCAACCAAAUUGCUCCCCAGGCGCUUUAGAUUUAGAAGCUCUACUAAUCAACCUUAUAAACAGCAGCCCAGCCACUGCAUAGAAAUUACUUUGUAUAGCUCCUAAGCGAAAUUACCCCAGGGGAUAGAAGAUGCCCAAGGCUUUAACAAUCACACCAUAACACAGCCUCAGUAUGAGAAUAGAGGACAAGCACACUUUGACAUCCCAAUUGAAACUCCGGGCUGAAUCCGACAUAGAAGAAUGUAAUUACCUUUCCUAGUUUGACGGUGCACUGAAGAAACUGGAGAAGCGGAAUACCUAUUAGGUUCCCACUAAUCCUCCUCCUAAAUUCAAAGCAGGGCUAGUCCCUGGAAUUCAUUUCUGAGUAUCCUUACUCUCUGCUAUUGUUAAAUAGCUCAAUUGAUAAGUCCUUCCAGCUAAUAAUGUUUUCCACGGAGCUCACCCCCUCCUCUUUCCCAGCAGCUCAAAGCACUUUACAAAUAUCACCUCAUUAUUCUUUAUAACACUCAAGUGAGCCUGAUAGGUGGAAAGGUUAAUUAUCUUCUCCUUCCCAAUAGGGGAAAUAGACAAAGGAAGGAGAAGUGACUCGCUGAAGCCAGCAAAGCAGAGGCAGAACUGGAACUAAAACUCAGCCAUUCUCCUGACUCCAAACACACACAUGUCCUAUGUCAGCUUGUAAAGCUGUUCUGCUGACAGGGCAGGAUUUUCUCGGCGUGGGCUGUGUUGUAAUCAACAGGUCUGCAGAACUGGGGCACCAGGCUGGAGGGGAAAGGGCAUGAGUCGAAAUGGGGAGGCCCCACUCAAACAGCCUUCACUAGUAUGGACCAGUUUCUUUACCUCCGAAUCUCAGUGUCCUCCUCGGAAAAGGAGGUGUGUAGAUUAUAGGAUCUUUCAGGUUCCUCCCAGCUCUUAGGUAAUUGGUGAAGUGAGAGUUUCAAAAGAGGGUUCUAUUAUUCACCAGCCCCUUGUGAUCACGUGGGCCUCAUUCCUCUUGUAAGCCUGAAAUAGCAUCUUUGUUUAUAGAGUGCCCUAUGUCAUCCACUGUCCACCCAGUGGGGAUCAAAUCAUUCAGUUCAAAGUGGCAAAUGGGAGAGAGAGUCCUAUAGGGCAUCAAGGCCAAGCACUAAAGAGAUAUGGAGACAGGCAGGGAGCAGGAAGACAGAAGACUAGAAGGGUCAUAAAAGGAAGAAUUGGCAAACAACAUCUUGAGCUGUGCCUUGGUCCUCACCAGGGCACCCCCUACAUUCCAAGGAACCUAUGACAAGCCUUCCGAAGCAUAAGAAGAUUCCAAAAAAACAGGGUUUGCUUGGGUUUUUCUAAAUACAGGAUUUACUUGCCAACCCCAAAACCCAAGUGAACAAUGCCCCAAUGUACCCUGUAGUGGUGGUUUUCCAUUUAAACAGAAUUUGAUUUUAAUGAAAUAACAUUGAUGUACCUUCCUCAAGUUAAUUAAAACCAGAUUAUACAGGUGGUGCCAUAGUUUGUAAUUUGUAUUGCUUGAGCCAGAUAAACCUGAGCCUUUAGAAAACCUGUAGUAUUUCAUCUCUCUGAUUUUCUACACUUUCUCUUCCUAAAUGAUGCUUUGCUACUCCUCAUUUGCCAUAAAGUGAGUUGGAGAGAGAGGACAUUUAGUAAAACCAACAUUUAUUUGUAGGGGAAGCAGCCCCCGCAACCAGAAUAAUGACCUUGGAAAUGGUUUUGUGUGAUGGGGCGAUUGCAGUGACUGGAUAUAAAGGACUGACUGUGCAGCUGCCAGAAAGAAACACAUUUUUGUAAUAUCUGAGUUGUUUCUAUUGGCCUGGUCUGCCUUGCAUUCACCAUGGGAACUGAGUCAACAAGUUUGCUUGCUUUUCUUUCAUACAGAGCAUUUUUUUUCCACAUACAGGGUAAAAGGAAUAAAGAAUAGAUAUCCCCUGAAAGUCAAAGGCUUCAUGAUAAAAAAAAAAUGGGUAUAAUGUUAUUAUUUAUCUCCAAGUCCAGUUGUAAAGGCAACUGGUUGUAAGCUCUAUUCCAUCUGCUCUCUCUGAGGACCUCAGCCUGCCCUUGUGGAACCUUCUUUCUGGGAAGUUAAAGAAUUUCCAGGAUUAGCUCAAGUCCUGAGGCUGCCAACUGUGACAAUCUACAAAGGUCUCUUAGGUAAUAAUUCAGAUCCCAUUUCUGCUCAAGGCCAAGAUGGUCCCCAGCGAGUUGGAAAUAUUCUUGUUUCCUGGACCUAGACCAUAAAGUGAGUUGACCUUCCAACAUCUUGGAAGGGCAAGCUCAGCAUCUCCGCAUACUAAAGACUCAACAACUGAUAUAUAUGUGACAACACAAAUGAAACUGAAUUUAAAAAGCAGGGGUUAAGGGUCAUCAGAAACAAUGUGAAAAAGAAAUGCUACAUGAAAAGAAAGAAGAAAGGAAAGAAGAAAGAAAGAAAGAAAGAAAGAAAGAAAGAAAGAAAGAAAGAAAGACAAGUCUCAUAAAUUUAAUAAUUUAUCUCCCACCUAAUUCUGGAGGAAAGUAUCUUGUGAACAUAUCCUAAACUGAACUUUUGAAUUCUCCAAAAGAAAGCCAAGUUUCCAAUGCUGAUUAGAUAAAAUGCCAAAUUCCUUUCACCAUUGCAAUCCCAAGUUGGGAAAGAAUGAAUCAAUACUCUCAGCUUGUCAGGUGUCUUGGAGACAAGUACGUCUUUAGAUCCUACCAGGGACUGCAUUAGUGUAAUGAGGUCUAGAGGACACCCUAAUCCUUCCUCUGACGCUCUUUCUCUAUGUAUCUCAGUAGUGCAGACAUCUGAGUAGUUGGUGAAACACUAAAGUAAGCUUCUAACCCAGCUCUGUGACUAACUCAUUCUGUGACCUCCUUAAGCCUCAGUUUCCCCAACUGAAAAAUGAAGUAUGACCACAGGGCCUCUAAUAUCCCUUCCAACUCUUAAAUAUCCUACUAUUGUAUCUCUGCAUAGAUUUGCUCCAUCACUUUUCCCAGCCACAGUAUAUUCUCUACCUUUCAGUUUCAUUCAAUGCUGGUCUGUCUCCAAGGGUCCCAGACAGUCAGUGUCUGAGGAGUCUCAGGCUAUAAAUUCAAACCUUACUGACUAAUAGGAAUAUUUACUUCUCUCAUCCCUGCAGUGUAAACUCAAUGUCAGAACACUAGUGUUCCAGGUGACCUCACUCAGACAAAUCCAAUGGCAUAUGCCAAUAGAUACAAUCCUAAAUGGGUAAGGAUGAAGACCCCAAAUGUGAAUAUUUAGCAAGUAAACCAAAAUGAUAACAGGCUAAGCUCACAGUAUGAACAUCUAGGAAUAAAUGAAUAGCUUUUAAAAUAAAUGACCAGAACUUCGAGGCGUAGAUUUUUCCACUACUCAAGAUUUGCAAUCUAGUUAUGACCUAGCUCAGCAACUAUAUCCACAACAAUGGAUUUCCACAAUGUUAGUUGAGGAAAUUUUAGGAACAGUCAGCAACUCCAAAAAACUUUUCAUUCAAGGAUUCCAAAAUGUUAUGUAAGUAUUAUUUCUUAUGAUCCCAAACAGAUGUGGAGAUGAGGCUCUUCGUCUGAGAAAUAAGGAACAUUUUACAGACUUGUCUCAGAUUAUAGAGUAAGCCAAGAGUUGAACAGAGACUCUAACAAGCCAUUCUCAGAAUUAUUCAGUUCCUAAUCUGUUACAUAUUCGCAGAAUACCUAGGUUUAAAACAGUAGAGAGUGAUUUAGAAGAUUCAUUGAGAAACAAGAGGCCCAACUUGGUCUUGAUUACCAGAUUUCCCUAGCAAUCAGUGAUCCAUUUGUUCGCUACCUUUAUUUGGAAGUCUUUUGGAAGCCUGACUGAGACGGAUCAAAUCUACAUCGGACAAAAUGAUUAAUAUAAAUACUUAUGGGUACUUAAAAAAUAAUUUUCUACUUUUCUGUAUUACCUAUUAGUCAAUUCAGAAUAUAGCCUCAUUACAACGACCAACAUUUAGAACACAUUGGUAGAUCUGAUAUAUCAAACAACAAAGCAAAUCACAAAGUAGUAUGCACACUAUGGUCUAAUUUUGGAAAAAAAGUUAACAUAAGUAUAUACAUAGAAAAGUGGCUAGAAGGACAAACACUGACAUAUUAAUGUAGUAGGAUUAUAAUUUUUAUGUUUCUUCUUGGGAGCUAUCUAUAUUUUCUAUGGGUUAAUAAAACAGCAUGAAUAAACUUCAUAAACAUAACAUUGAGUAAAAGAAAAUAGUACCAAAGAGAACCUGCUAUAUGACUCCAUUUAUAUAAAGUUCAAAAACAGGCAAAACUAAUCCAUGGUUGUAGAAGUCCAGAUAGUAGUUAGUUACCUUUGGGAUGAGGGUGGAGGGGUGGGAUGGGGUCAUGACAGGAAGGAGGAGCUUCCAUGGGCGCUAUUAAUGUUAUGUUUCUUAAUCUGGGUGCUGGUUACAUGUGUGCUCAGUGAGAAAGUUCAUGGAGCUAUACACUACGAUGUACACACUUUUUUGUUUACAUAUUAUACUUCAUUUAAAAAGUUACUUAAAAAAACAAAACAACUGAAUCCAGAGGCUUCCUCACACAUAUUGUCAAGAAGUCUAGAAGAAGGACUCUUUUUGGGGACGGGGAGAGCCAUAUUUCCAUAGUUCCAUUUCUGAAUUCUGAAAUAUGGCUCCAUAAAAAUGGGAAGAGAAAUACAAAUUUACAUCAUUGAAGGCUCCCGACUUGUGAAUAACAACAUCGUUUGCCAUCUCCCUUGACAACAUGGUAUUAAUGGCGACUCUGAAAAUCCAAGUUUUCAUUCAACUUAGACUCACUAUAAGGGUUAAUCAUUCAGCCUGGACCAGAUGCAGCCACGCUGGGAGGUGCACUUCCCACAUCAGGGCUCCAUUCAUGAAAACAAGCUAAAAGUGGCUGAGGCUGCUAGAAAGGAAGCUCUGUGAGGGCAGGGACUUUGUAUCCUCACCGCCUGAUGUAAGACCUAGCAUAGAAUUGGGGUUCAGUAAGUAUUUUUGAAGUGAGUGAAUAUAUACAUUCACUUUCAAAAAGAAGUGUGUGUGUUCGGCUCAUGUAGAAAUUAUGAGGGACAGUAAAGGAGAGAGAAAAGGAUGAAAUAGAAUGAUAUAUACUUGAUUGGUGAUAUAUGUCUCUGAUUGUCCCUUCAGUGUUUCUCAACUAAAUCAGGCUAACUAAGGCAUGGGAAGAUUUAUGUUGCUGUAGAUGUUUAGGAAAACCAACUAGAAGAACAACACUGUCCAGGCUGAGUGUGGUGGCUCAUGCCUGUAAUCCCAGCACUUUGGGAGGCCAAGGUGGGUAGAU
rnacentral:lncRNA from 1 species